UACGUAGGGUGCGAGCGUUGCCCGGAUUUAUUGGGCGUAAAGGGCGCGUAGGCGGCCACGCACGUCCGUUGUGAAAUCGCCCGGCUCAACUGGGCGGGGUCAGCGGAUACGGUGUGGCUCGAGCAAGCUAGGGGGCAAUGGAAUUCCCGGUGUAGUGGUGGAAUGCGUAGAUAUCGGGAGGAACACCAGUGGCGAAGGCAGCUUGCUGGGCCGACCCUGACGCUAAGGCACGAAAGCGUGGGGAGCGAACAGG
rnacentral:rRNA from 1 species